CAUAGACUUGAUGAUCUCGAUCAAGGCCCGUGGUUUAGUAGCAGACCUGAAGGCUACGCUGCUUCGGUGGGGGACGUCAUCUGUAAAAAUGUGGCUGUUCUAAAUUCUGUGUCGCUCAAAGCCUUGACCUUCCUCUCCUCUGAAGACCCAGUGAGGGUGGAGCUCAGUCAGAGAGCUGUUGAGGGACUGGUUAGGAAGAACACUUCUACAGCCAGAGAGGGGCAGUCAAGAAAUGGAACGGCAAGGCCACAGAACAUGACAUAAGCAGAGCUGUGGGAGACCACCUCAAGCCCCUGGUAGAGCCGGGGGUGGUGUUUACCACUCCACCACGCCUUCAGCAGGCUGGAAAAGUGGGAUUGAUACUGUUUUUCAUACUAAGAGGGACCAAGAGUCUGUUGAUUGUUCAGUCUUUGGGUUCAUUUGUUGAAAUCAAAUCAAGCUUUAUUUAUACAGCACAUUUCAGACAUGGAUGCAACACAAUGGCUUCACAGGAAAAAAACUAAAUGAAAAUAAACUAAAAUAUUUAGUACAUAACAAACAGAAGAUUAACAACUGAAAGACUAAUGAACAUUUAAGGACAUUUCAUUGAUUAAAAUAUUAAUUGGAUGCUAUAUCCAACCCAAAAUAUUAGCUUCUUUUUUAGGAGGGGCUCUGAAAGACACUAUGGGGGUGUCCACUGGAAGUUGACUAGUAACAACAACUGGGAAAUAAGACACCCACCAUGAGACCCACUAAAUCUGCCCAAGAAGAGGGAAACAAAAGAAAAACCCUCACCAAACUUAAAGACAGGAAGUAAACCAAAAAGGUGGAGCAACUAAAGGUGUUGACUCUCCACAUCUAUCAAGACAACUGGAGCACUGGGCCAGACACUCUUUAAUAGAACCUGGACCACUCUUACAUACUGACUAACGAGGUGACACCAAUCAGUCCAACAUGCUAACGAGAUAGACGUGUUAAAGUCCAACCUCAAAACAUAAAUAGAAAAACCAAAGCCUGUAUCACCUUCCCCCUUAAGAAAACAAACAUAUCCUAUAUUUCUGUUGGACACGUUUGCUCACCACCAACAGAAAACAACUUCAAUUUCACAUUAUAA